rnacentral:rRNA from 1 species
CUACGGUGAAUACGUUCCCGGACCUUGUACACACCGCCCGUCAAGCCAUGGAAGCUGGGUGUACCUAAAGUCGAUAACCGUAAGGAGUCGCCUAGGGUAAAACUAGUAACUGGGCUA